rnacentral:rRNA from 1 species
AUGCGCCACUUGUUAUUCUUCUUCAAAACCAAAACUGGGUUGGCAAGCCAUUCUGGAAAGAACACUUCCAUGAUGAAGCCGGCUGCAAGGAGCCGGGCUAUCUCUUCUCCCACGAUUCUUCGCUUCUCUUCUGAUAGUCGGCGGAGGGGUUGCUUGACCGGCUUCGCAUCAGCUCGGACAUGUAAUUUGUGCUCGGUGAAAUCCUUCGGGACACCCGGCAUGUCCUUUGGGGACCACGCAAAGAUGUCUCGAUUCUCACGGAGGAAGUCGGCGAGCUCGCCUUCCUAUUUACUGUCCAAGUUCGCCCCAAUCACGGCGAACCUCUCCGGGUGCUCCGGGUGCUCCGGAUCUAGAGGUAUCUUCUUCGUCUCUUUGGCAGGCUGGAAGGAGCCCUGCGCAUCACAGUCCUUGGGGUUGGGGGACAAGGCCGGCUGCUUGCCGGCCAUGGCCACAACCCGUUCCAACAUCUUCUUCUCUUCUGCCACCACGAGGGACUCGGCCAGCCGGCUGCUGGCCAUGGCACACUCGAUGGACUUCUUGUAA